rnacentral:rRNA from 1 species
CGGGUCUUAAUUGACUUGGUAACGCAGCUAACGCGUGAAGUAGACCGCCUGGGGAGUACGGUCGCAAGAUUAAAACUCAAAGGAAUUGANCGGGGACCCGCACAAGCGGUGGAUGAUGUGGAUUAAUUCGAUGCAACGCGAAAAACCUUACCUACCCUUGACAUGGCAGAAAUCCUCGAGAGAUUGAGGAGUGCUCGAAAGAGAAUCUGCACACAGGUGCUGCAUGGCUGUCGUCAGCUCGUGUCGUGAGAUGUUGGGUUAAGUCCCGCAACGAGCGCAACCCUUGUCAUUAGUUGCUACGCAAGAGCACUCUAAUGAGACUGCCGGUGACAAACCGGAGGAAGGUGGGGAUGACGUCAAGUCCUCAUGGCCCUUAUGGGUAGGGCUUCACACGUCAUACAAUGGUACAUACAGAGCGCCGCCAACCCGCGGGGGGGAGCUAAUCGCAGAAAGUGUAUCGUAGUCCGGAUUGUAGUCUGCAACUCGACUGCAUGAAGUUGGAAUCGCUAGUAAUCGCGGAUCAGCAUGUCGCGGUGAAUACGUUCCCGGGUCUUGUACACACCGCCCGUCACACCAUGGGAGCGGGUUUUACCAGAAGUAGGUAGCUUAACCGCAAGGGGGGCGCUUACCACGGUAGGAUUCGUGACUGGGGUGAAGUCGUAANCAAGGUACC